rnacentral:lncRNA from 1 species
GAUGAAAUCAAACAUUUGGUUAAAACCUAGUUAAAAAUCCCAAGAAGAGUCGUUAUUUCUGUUUUGUGGAAAUUUUUGACUUUUAAAGAGUCGCCACUUAAUUUUGAAAAGGAAUUAAGAAACCUUAAUAAAACACUUUAAACGAUCCAUAACAGAAAAAUCGUUUAAGUUUAAAGAUUCUGAGUACGUAUUUCCUAUUAACGUUUUAGGAAGGUGUUAGACACCUAAAACGUCUACUAACUUGCGGUUAUACGAACUGUUUGAAAACGUUUUUUGACU